AUCGUCUCUUUUCUUCUCGACGUCUGAAAGAUUAGGGUUUUGACGAUAUUUUUUUUUUCCAGAUCACUCUUCCUCUUCCGUUCUUCUUCAGUUAUGGUGAGCAUUAAAACUCGACUGGGAACUUCUUCUGUCGCCGAGACGAUUCGGCAUUCCUUAACGCAUCUCGAAUCCUCAUUAUAUAGAGCUCUCAAGCUGCCUUAGCCGCCGUCCCUACCGUCGCCCCUGUCUCCGCCGCCACCGCCGUCUCCGCAUUUGCCGCCGUCUCCGCCACCGCUGCCGUCCCCUACACCACCUUCGACUCACUCCGACUUGGCAGGACCGCCCAGUCUUUGGUCGGCAGACUCAUCCGAUUCUGGGAUGCUAAGGACAUUACUAAGAACGGGGAACUUUUGGGAAUAACCCUUUUGCUACUUGAUGAGAAGAUUUCCGAUUAGCCGCAUCGAUGGCAGACACCGAGACUUUUUCUUUCCAAGCGGAGAUCAACCAGUCGAUGUCCCUCAUCAUCAACACCUUUUACAGCAACAAGGAGAUCUUCCUUUGUGAGCUCAUCAGCAACUCCUCCGAUUGAACUCUGAGGUAUAGUGUUGCUGCCGGUUUGAGCUGAAUUAGUUUUGGAUUGAAAAGCAGGUGUGGCAAUUACUACACUAUCAUCUAUUUAUAUCUGGUUAUCAAUCGUCAAGCUCUUUAUCAAUUUUCAGAUGUUGUUUGCUAAAUGUGAUAUUUGCAAGCGUCUGACCAUAACAACGCUGCAGCAACGACUAGACUUGUGGUUCGUCUUCUGAUAGAUCCUGAUGGUGUACUUGUCGUUUAUGUGACAACGCAACAGCAAUAUUUCGGGGUCUCUAAAACACAGGUGAUAAAACUCAGUCUGUAAUGGUGGUUACAAUGCGAAUCCAAAAAAAAAUUGGAGGUAUUCUCUAUCUAAACUCACACCUAUGAAUGUUAAAACGGGCGGCCCGGUCCCGUUUAGGCCCUGCUGGUGAGUCACACCAGCAACCAAAUUUUAUUUUGACACUAAUCUUCCUGCCAACAGAGAGUUCACAGCCAGCCUGGGAGGUGCAACAGGAGAGAUCUGAAUACGUUCAUCUCCAACUCUAACGAGCAGACACGGGAAGCUGAUUUCAUUUGCAAAGCUUAGUUGUUGAGGUCCUCCAACAUAAUGGCUGGUCAUAUUCGUUGCUUACACCGGAUGCAGCAGAAGUUGGACAAAUCUGGCACUUCUCUUCGUUGGAAUAGAUGUGUUUAUCCCAACGCUACCGGUGUUAUCAGGCAUGCAAUUUACAUUUUCAGCACUGCUGCAGCAGGAGACGAUGAACCAAACGCAUGAACCAAACACUCUCGGUUUGGAAGCGAAAGAGAAUAGCUGCAAACGCACGCGUGAGUGAUAGUUUCAUGCCCACACUUAGCGACAAAAAGAAAGAGAAUAGCUGAACAGCUGCCAAGUGUCAACCACACUUAGCGACUUUUUCUAAAUUUUCAAGUUGCUAUGAUUUGUUUUUCUUGAACAAAAAGUUUCUAUGAUUUUGAAUCCACUAUAUUAUACAAUUUCAACUUUGGUU